rnacentral:lncRNA from 1 species
GACGGCGGAACUGCCCGGUUAUUUCAAGAAGCCGGCAGCCUCCCCUCCUCGGGCUUGUCGCUGUUUGUUUGAACUUGAGACUUCCUGAGCCUGAAAGGUGUUUGUGGCUCCAGCAGCUCCUGGCUUUGGAGCCGUGUCCACACAGCCUGUCUGAGGAAGGAAGCGUCCAACGCAAAGGCAGAUGGGCGGGUGCGGCCGUCCACUCUGCUCUCUCCCAGAGCUCCAGGCUUCCCUCUGCCCACUCUCCGAGGUGUGGGGGCAGCCCAAGACCUCAGGACAGGCUGCAGGAGGACCGAAGGUGCCUGAGGAUAGGAAGACCAGAGCCCAGGAGGUGGCUUGGGACAGCCAGAGGUCUCCAGGAGCGUGACCACUCAGCACCCAGAGCCUCCUGCAGGCUGCUGGCGCCUGCACGGUCUCCAGCUGUCCCUGUGGAGACCUGAAAGUGGUGGAGACUGCGAGGUGCACUUGGCCGCGGCCACCCUGACCACAAGGUUGGACUGGCCUCUGUCUCUGCCUCAGAGACCCUUGUGAGGGCAGCUCCAUGGCUGAGAAGGGAGCCUCUCGGGGGCCCAUGCGCCGCUUCUGGUCACUGCCCAGGAAGCGUCGGGGAGCCCCAGGGCGCCCAAAGCCAGGUGAGAUGGGAGGGAUGGCAUGGGGACAUGGGGACA